rnacentral:rRNA from 1 species
AGAAUCAACGCUGGCGGCGUGCCUAACACAUGCAAGUCGAUCGAGAAAGUGGAGCAAUCCAUGAGUAAAGAGGCGCACGGGUGAGUAACACGUGACUAACCUACCCUCGAGUGGGGAAUAACCUGGGGAAACCCGGGCUAAUACCGCAUAAUACCCACGGGUCAAAGGAGCAAUUCGCUUGAGGAGGGGGUCGCGGCAGAUUAGUUAGUUGGCGGGGUAAUGGCCCACCAAGACGAUGAUCUGUAUCCGGCCUGAGAGGGCGCACGGACACACUGGAACUGAAACACGGUCCAGACUCCUACGGGAGGCAGCAGUGGGGAAUUUGCGCAAUGGGGGAAACCCUGACGCAGCAACGCCGCGUGGAGGAUGAAGUCCCUUGGGACGUAAACUCCUUUCGACCGGGACGAUAAUGACGGUACCGGAUGAAGAAGCCCCGGCUAACUUCGCGCCAGCAGCCGC